rfam:Fonsecaea pedrosoi CBS 271.37 unplaced genomic scaffold supercont1.3, whole genome shotgun sequence.
GGCUCAAUGGUCUAGUGGUAUGAUUGUCGCUUCGGGCGGGUUUAUUGGCCUCUGGUUGUAAAAGCCAUGAAAUGUGACAGGCCUCGGGUUCGAAUCCCGAUUGAGCCC